AGAUAUCUGAAUCAAUGCAGAGAUUUCGUCAGACACCAACCCAUUAGGGCUGAUCAGACUUUCAAGAUAUGUGAAGUU
rfam:Schistosoma haematobium scaffold191_4, whole genome shotgun sequence.